GAUGAACGCUGGCGGCGUGCCUAAUACAUGCAAGUCGAGCGAACAGACGAGGAGCUUGCUCCUCUGACGUUAGCGGCGGACGGGUGAGUAACACGUGGAUAACCUACCUAUAAGACUGGGAUAACUUCGGGAAACCGGAGCUAAUCCCGGCUAAUAUAUUGAACCGCAUGGUUCAAUAGUGAAAGACGGUUUUGCUGUCACUUAUAGAUGGAUCCGCGCUGCAUUAGCUAGUUGGUAAGGUAACGGCUUACCAAGGCAACGAUGCGUAGCCGACCUGAGAGGGUGAUCGGCCACACUGGAACUGAGACACGGUCCAGACUCCUACGGGAGGCAGCAGUAGGGAAUCUUCCGCAAUGGGCGAAAGCUUGACGGAGCAACGCCGCGUGAGUGAUGAAGGUCUUCGGAUCGUAAAACUCUGUUAUUAGGGAAGAACAAAUGUGUAAGUAACUAUGCACGUCUUGACGGUACCUAAUCAGAAAGCCACGGCUAACUACGUG
rnacentral:rRNA from 1 species